UAGAUACCCUGGUAGUCCACGCAGUAAACGAUGAUUACUAGGAGUUUGCGAUAUACCGUCAAGCUUCCACAGCGAAAGCGUUAAGUAAUCCACCUGGGGAGUACGCCGGCAACGGUGAAACUCAAAGGAAUUGACGGGGGCCCGCACAAGCGGAGGAACAUGUGGUUUAAUUCGAUGAUACGCGAGGAACCUUACCCGGGAUUGAAAUGUAGAUGACGGAUGGUGAAAACCGUCUUCCCUUCGGGGCGUC
rnacentral:rRNA from 1 species